GGGGAAAGACCGUAGCUCAGUAGUAGAGCAACUGCCUUGCAUGCAGAAGGUCACAAGUUCAAUCCUUGGUUUCUCCA